rnacentral:antisense_RNA from 1 species
CUUAACCGACCCCAACCACAACGGCCGUUCCCGGUUCUGACCGUAGGUCGCUAGCAGCGCCUGCGCCUC